GAACUGAUGAAGAGUCCCAUAAUAGGACGAAACAGCCGUCCAGCGC
rnacentral:hammerhead_ribozyme from 1 species